CACCUGACCGUUUGCUCUCUUUUUUGUUUUUGUUUUCGGUUCAGGCAUUUCUUGCAUUGCUUUUUCCUCUUUUAUAUCUUUUUUUUUAGCAGGAUCGACCUCGAUUCCUCUUUCGUUCACAAUAAGCCUCGGCAACUUACCAGACAGCACUCCACAAGUGCACUAAUUCGGACUCAACCUCAGUCUGAGUUGUUUCGAUCCGGUCAAACAACUUGCCCCGGAUCCACCAGAUGCCCCUCUUCUGCUUGGGACUUUGCUAUCAUGUCAUCAACAUAGCAUUCAAUUUCAUGAUGAAUCAUAUCAUGAAACAAAGUCACUCUGAUACGUGGCACCGGCGUUCUGUUUCUCUAGAGGACAGUCUUCUCUCCAUGGCAGCUUGCGUAUAACGACAUUGGUACCCGACCCUGGCAUAUCCUGAUACGACCAGGCGAAGAUAUCAACA
rnacentral:lncRNA from 1 species